AUUGAACGCUGGCGGCAGGCCUAACACAUGCAAGUCGAGCGGAUGAAGAGAGCUUGCUCUCUGAUUCAGCGGCGGACGGGUGAGUAAUGCCUAGGAAUCUGCCUGAUAGUGGGGGACAACGUUUCGAAAGGAACGCUAAUACCGCAUACGUCCUACGGGAGAAAGCAGGGGACCUUCGGGCCUUGCGCUAUCAGAUGAGCCUAGGUCGGAUUAGCUAGUUGGUGAGGUAAUGGCUCACCAAGGCGACGAUCCGUAACUGGUCUGAGAGGAUGAUCAGUCACACUGGAACUGAGACACGGUCCAGACUCCUACGGGAGGCAGCAGUGGGGAAUAUUGGACAAUGGGCGAAAGCCUGAUCCAGCCAUGCCGCGUGUGUGAAGAAGGUCUUCGGAUUGUAAAGCACUUUAAGUUGGGGGGAAGGGCGAUUAACCUGAUACGUUAGUGUUUUGACGUUACCGACAGAAUAAGCACCGGCUAACUUCGUGCC
rnacentral:rRNA from 1 species